rnacentral:lncRNA from 1 species
CUUAAAAUCAACCAGCUUCAACUAGCCAGCCAGUCAGGAGGCUCCAGUGCUAUUGACCUCUUGACUGUUUGGGAGGUUCCUUGGAAAUAAAGCUGGUGGAGCUGUGAUUAAAUUUACACUGCGUUGACAACAUGAGGCACGUCAUCUUGCUCUUUCUGUCUGUCCAUUUUUACCUUGGGAACUUGGUAAGCAUCGAUGGAUCACAAGCUCAUAACAUUCAGCGUCGCCAAACGAGCCCAAAGCUUCAAGACCCUGUAGAGAUCGUCACAGAUAUGACAAUAUCUGCAAGUUGGAACCUCACUGUGGGCAAUACUGCAGUGAUAAACUGCACCGUGCACAAACCAGGAAACGGCCACAAUGUGACUUUGCAGCUGAUGCGGACAAAACUGGGCCUAGAGGAAAAGUUUAAGGUGCUGGUGAGCCAACCAGCUUCAAGAGGGAUCUCAUAUGUACUGGGUCCCAUUACUCAUGAGCACCUGGGAGAGUCUGUAGCUGUGUGGAAGGUGGCAGCGCGCCUAAUGCUGACGUUACGGAUCGGCACCAUUUAA